rnacentral:rRNA from 1 species
CAACCUGCCCACCACUUGGGGAUAACCUUGCGAAAGUAAGACUAAUACCCAAUGAUAUCUCUANNAGACAUCUGAAAGAGAUUAAAGAUUUAUCGGUGAUGGAUGGGGAUGCGUCUGAUUAGCUUGUUGGCGGGGUAACGGCCCACCAAGGCGACGAUCAGUAGGGGUUCUGAGAGGAAGGUCCCCCACAUUGGAACUGAGACACGGUCCAAACUCCUACGGGAGGCAGCAGUGAGGAAUAUUGGUCAAUGGACGAGAGUCUGAACCAGCCAAGUAGCGUGCAGGAUGACGGCCCUAUGGGUUGUAAACUGCUUUUAUAAGGGAAUAAAGUGAGUCUCGUGAGACUUUUUGCAUGUACCUUAUGAAUAAGGACCGGCUAAUUCCGUGCCAGCAGCCGCGGUAAUACGGAAGGUCCGGGCGUUAUCCGGAUUUAUUGGGUUUAAAGGGAGCGUAGGCCGGAGAUUAAGCGUGUUGUGAAAUGUAGAUGCUCAACAUCUGCACUGCAGCGCGAACUGGUUUCCUUGAGUACGCACAAAGUGGGCGGAAUUCGUGGUGUAGCGGUGAAAUGCUUAGAUAUCACGAAGAACUCCGAUUG